GCGGUGGCGGCGGUGGCGGCGUUCGUGUCGGUGUCCCGUGGUGCGCCGCGGCUGCUGUGUGUGCGGGUCCCGGAGUCGCAACUCACUUUGUAGCCCAGGCUGG